rnacentral:rRNA from 1 species
CCUACGGGAGGCAGCAGUGAGGAAUAUUGGUCAAUGGGCGCGAGCCUGAACCAGCCAAGUAGCGUGAAGGAUGACUGCCCUACGGGUUGUAAACUUCGUUUAUAAAGGAAUAAAGUGAGGCACGUGUGCCGUUUUGUAUGAACUUUAGGAAUAAGGAUCGGCUAACUCCGUGCCAGCAGCCGCGGUAAUACGGAGUAUCCGAGCGUUAUCCGGAGUUAUUGGGUUUAAAGGGAGCGUCGAUGGGUUGUUAAGUCAGUGGGGAAAGUUUGCGGCUCAACCGUAAAAUUGCAAUUGAUACUGGCAGUCUUGAGUACCGUUGCGGUCGGCGGACUUCGUGGUGUAGCGG